GACGAACGCUGGCGGCGUGCUUAACACAUGCAAGUCGAACGAAGUGGCGAACGGGUGAGUAACGCGUAAUCAACCUGCCCUUCAGAGGGGGACAACAGCUGGAAACGACUGCUAAUACCUCAUACUGAAGGAGGGGAUUGCGUCCGAUUCGCUAGUUGGGGGGGUAACGGCCCACCAAGGCGAUGCUCAGUAGUCGGGCUGAGAGGAUGAACGGCCACAGUGUGACUUUGUCACGGCCCAGACUCCUACGGGAGGCAGCAGUGGGGAAUCUUCCGCAAUGGACGAAAGUCUGACGAAGCAACGCCGCGGGAGUGAUGACGGCCUUCGGGUUGUAAAGCUCUUUUAAUCGGGACGCGGUACCGGAAUAGAAAGCCACGGCUAACUACGUGCCAGCAGCCGCGGUAAUUC
rnacentral:rRNA from 1 species